AUCAGGAAAACUGGCCAACAACAGAUAUUAUUUAAUCCGGCAUGGUCUCUUAAACAAGUCAAAUUGCUGAUGCAAAACAAUGUCUCAGAAAUACAACCAGCUUGUUCACCCUUUUUGCAAACCUCUUUUCAGGGUUGGACAACCUGGCUGCGACAGUGGAACCCUCCUAAAAGCCGGGUGCAAAGAGACAUAACUGGUGUCGUGGGAACGGGACUGGGAAUCCUAAAUAGUAUUGAUUCAGAAGUAUUAAUGAAUAAAUUGGCCUCCACGACUAAAGAUUUAACCAAAAUACAGCAACCACUGCAAUCGUCCUUAUCGGCCUUGGGAACACAUCAGUGGUUGCUAUCAAACAUUCUACCAAAUUGGGAAAAGAUAAAUGUAAAUGAUAGCAAAUUGAUAAUUGAUGCACUUAAUGCCACACAAAGCAACGUUUCCUUAGCUCUUAGCUGUAUCCAGGCUCAAUUAUGGAUGUAGUCAGUUGCUGCCUCAAUUAUAAGAGAAGGUGAAGAAGGCACUUUUCCUACUGAAAUUAGGAAAAUAGUCUGGGACAGUGCCACUGACUUUGAAAGAGAUUUCCAAUCCUGGUGGAAUUUAGUGAAUUUUACCUAUGACCCUAACACAAACACAGCCAAAGCAUUUGUGUUGACCAUAAGAAAUGCCUCGGUGCAUUUGAUAUUCCCUAUCAUUGCACUAGGAUUAAAUCAUGACGGAGCCACUUUCUAUCCUUCUGAACAUAGAGAAUGGGCCCGUCAAAUUAAUGACAAAUGGCAAACUGUCAAUUUAGAGUCCUGUACUAUCCGAGAACAACUAGGGUUUAUCUGUGAAGGUAAUGCAAUUAUAGCUCAAGAUAUCUGUUUAGACACAGAACAAAAUAUCUGUCAUUUUGAUAUUCAUCCUAACGAGACUUCUGAAACAGUCCUUGUAUAUACAGGCAAUGGGUGUGCCUGCUUCAGAACUGCUUGUGAUACUGUGUUUAUAGAAAGUACAGUAGUAGAUACUAAAAAUCAUUCAAAUUUUUGUGCUUGCAACUUUACUAAAAUUGCAGGAUGUGAUUUUUCUUUUGUAGCUCCAGUUACUUCACAUGAACUUUUAGAAUCCAAUCUCACGAUGAUUCACAAGCUAUUGCCUACUCCCAUUGGGAUGAACCUUACUCUGGUAAAGCAACUAUUACUUCAUCAAGAUCUAAUAGAGAUCCUAGGAAAAAUCAAGGAGAAUGGACAGAAAACUCUGUAAUCUUGCUUAUUGUAAAUUGGAGAAUGAUGAAACGAUUAACAAAAUUAACAUCUAUAAUUAAUGCACACCACUUGGCCGACAUCCUUUACACUAUAGAUGUUCCCAGGACUGUAGACACAAGAAGAUUAUAAGUUUUCCUGUUUUCUCUUUCCUUUCCUUUUUCUCUUCCCUUUUCCCUGGGAUGUGCUGCCAACACUUGACGAGUCCUGAAGACUCCACAACGACCCCAUGGGAUCCUGCUGAUGAAGAUCUUUCGAGGGCAAUCAUCAGUCACGGGGUGGUGUAAGAGCCCGUCUGAAGCCCCUCAUUUUCCAUUCUGCCUUCCGAUUGCCACGAGAAAGAAUCCCUUCCUCCACUGCAGUUCUGGCUUAGAACAGGACACAGUGCAGGUGCAACCACUGAACUGUCACGCUAGCUGUUCCGAACAAGGCCUGGCAAGAACUUGGCAAGGACUUGGCAAGGACUUGGCAAAGACCUGACAUGGACCCAGCACGGGACAGCCUGAUGCGCGGCCUGCUUCUAACCUCCGUUCUUAAGCCGAAUGAACUUUUGGGGUGACUCCCGUGGUCCUUCAUUGAAGACCCCUCAUCUGCCUCGUUACCACUGUGACAAACAAAGAAUGAGAACCCUCCUCCCAAGGACUGAGACUGAGACCCCUGCUAUAGGGAGGAGGGGAAAUUGGUGGUCUGACCACUAAUGACAUGACCUGUUUCCCUUCAGUGAUUCCAAUGGACUUAUUCUUCAUUGUAUUCGUCUUGCUUUGGUGGUUUCUGUGGACUCACCUGUUCCCUCGUGGCGAUUACAAUGGACUUUCAUUAUUACACUUGUUCCCCCCCUCUCUCCUCUGUGGACUAUAAUUGGACCCCCGAGUUGACCAGAACUUCGGAGACUUCCCCGACACGACAGACGGAUCCCCAUCGUCCGGACCACUGAGGAUCUCGCCUGUGUUGGUAGCUAUUCCCAUACCCCUCUUCUCUCUCUCUCUAUCCUUCUAUC